GGCUCAGAUUGAACGCUGGCGGCAUGCCUUACACAUGCAAGUCGAACGGCAGCGGACCUUCGGGUGCGGCGAGUGGCGAACGGUGAGUAAUAUAUCGGAACGUACCUUUCAGUGGGGGAUAACGUAGCGAAAGUUACGCUAAUACCGCAUAUUCUGUGAGCAGGAAAGCAGGGGAUCGCAAGACCUUGCGCUGAUUGAGCGGCCGAUAUCAGAUUAGCUAGUUGGUGAGGUAAAGGCUCACCAAGGCGACGAUCUGUAGCGGGUCUGAGAGGAUGAUCCGCCACACUGGAACUGAGACACGGUCCAGACUCCUACGGGAGGCAGCAGUGGGGAAUUUUGGACAAUGGGCGCAAGCCUGAUCCAGCCAUGCCGCGUGAGUGAAGAAGGCCUUCGGGUUGUAAAGCUCUUUCGGCCGGGAAGAAAUCGCACAGGUUAAUACCCUGUGUGGAUGACGGUACCGGAAUAAGAAGCACCGGCUAACUACGUG
rnacentral:rRNA from 1 species